rnacentral:rRNA from 1 species
ACGAACGCUGGCGGCAUGCCUAACACAUGCAAGUCGAACGAAGGCUUCGGCCUUAGUGGCGCACGGGUGCGUAACGCGUGGGAAUCUACCCUUAGGUUCGGAAUAACAGUUAGAAAUGACUGCUAAUACCGGAUGAUGACGUAAGUCCAAAGAUUUAUCGCCUAGGGAUGAGCCCGCGUAGGAUUAGCUUGUUGGUGAGGUAAAAGCUCACCAAGGCGACGAUCCUUAGCUGGUCUGAGAGGAUGAUCAGCCACACUGGGACUGAGACACGGCCCAGACUCCUACGGGAGGCAGCAGUGGGGAAUAUUGGACAAUGGGCGAAAGCCUGAUCCAGCAAUGCCGCGUGAGUGAUGAAGGCCUUAGGGUUGUAAAGCUCUUUUACCCGGGAUGAUAAUGACAGUACCGGGAGAAUAAGCUCCGGCUAACUCCGU